GACGAGGGGUCCAAGCGUUGUUCGGAAUUACUGGGCGUAAAGCGCGUGUAGGCGGCGCCGUAAGUCGGAUGUGAAAGCCCUUGGCUCAACCAAGGAAGUGCAUCUGAUACUGCGGUGCUUGAGUGUCGGAGGGGAUGGCGGAAUUCCCGGUGUAGAGGUGAAAUUCGUAGAUAUCGGGAGGAACACCUGUGGCGAAGGCGGCCAUCUGGACGAUAACUGACGCUGAGACGCGAAAGCGUGGGUAGCAAACAGG
rnacentral:misc_RNA from 1 species